UUACGUGACGAAGCACGCGCCAAAGUAGACAAUAAAGCCUGAGCUUCGUGUUAGUCACCCCAAGACGCUGGCCAUGCCAGCGUUUUUUU
rfam:Leclercia adecarboxylata strain I1 Leclercia_S84_R1__paired__contig_26, whole genome shotgun sequence.